rnacentral:tRNA from 2 species
UCCUGGUUAGCUCAAUUGGUAAAGCGCUUUACUGGAAAUGGAGUGUUCCCUGGUUCUAUACCAGGACCAGGCG